GCACUGGUAAAAUCCAGUGUCGGGAUUGGUCUCCCGAAAUAAACAAAGGCGCAUAAGUCGUCUGCUAAAGCAUCGGCUUUUUU
rnacentral:sRNA from 1 species